rnacentral:rRNA from 1 species
AGAGCGAACGCUGGCGGCAGGCCUAACACAUGCAAGUCGAGCGCCCCGCAAGGGGAGCGGCAGACGGGAGAGUAACACGUGGGAACGUACCCUUUGGUUCGGAACAACACAGGGAAACUUGUGCUAAUACCGGAUAAGCCCUUACGGGGAAAGAUUUAUCGCCGAAAGAUUGGCCCGCGUCUGAUUAGCUAGUUGGUGAGGUAACGGCUCACCAAGGCGACGAUCAGUAGCUGGUCUGAGAGGAUGAUCAGCCACAUUGGGACUGAGACACGGCCCAAACUCCUACGGGAGGCAGCAGUGGGGGAAUAUUGGACAAUGGGCGCAAGCCUGAUCCAGCCAUGCCGCGUGAGUGAUGAAGGCCCUAGGGUUGUAAAGCUCUUUGUGCGGGAAGAUAAUGACGGUACCGCAAGAAUAAGCCCCGGCUAACUUCGUGCCAGCAGCCGC